rnacentral:rRNA from 1 species
UGCAGCUGGAUCAUUACA